ACGGGGUGCAGCAGGCGCGAAAACUCCGCAAUACACGAAAGUGUGACGGGGGAACCCCGAGUGCACUCACGCAAGUGAGCGCUUUUGUGAAGUGUAAAUAGCUUCACGAAUAAGAGCUGGGUAAGACCGGUGCCAGCCGCCGCGGUAACACCGGCAGCUCGAGUGGUGAUCACUAUUAUUGGGCCUAAAGCGUCCGUAGCCGGUUUGGUAAGUCCUUGGGCAAAUCCUGUCGCUUAACGGCAGGAAUUCUGAGGAUACUGUCAGACUUGAGGCCGAGAGAGGUCGGAGGUACUUCUGGGGUAGCGGUGAAAUGCUAUAAUCCUAGAGGGACCACCGGUGGCGAAGGCGUCCGACUAGAGCGGGCCUGACGGUAAGGGACGAAAGCCAGGGGAGCGAACGGGAUUAGAUACCCCGGUAGUCCUGGCCGUAAACGCUGUGGGCUAGGUGUUGCAUGCUCUACGAGGGCGUGCAGUGCCGAAGAGAAGUUGAUAAGCCUACCGCCUGGGAAGUACUAUCGCAAGAUAGAAACUUAAAGGAAUUGGCGGGGGAGCACCACAAGGGGUGAAGUCUGCGGUUCAAUUGAAUUCAACGCCGGAAAUCUCACUGGAAGCGACGGCAGAAUGACGGCCAAGCUGAUGACUUUGCUUGACGAGCCGAGAGGAG
rnacentral:rRNA from 1 species